GGGCCCGUAGCUCAGUCAGGAUAGAGCGGCGGCCUUCGGAGCCGCAGGUCCCGGGUUCAAGUCCCGGCGGGCCCG
rnacentral:tRNA from 1 species